GCGGUGGAGCAUGUGGUUUAAUUCGAAGCAACGCGAAGAACCUUACCAGGUCUUGACAUCCCCUGACAACCCGAGAGAUCGGGCGUUCCCCUUCGGGGGACAGGGUGACAGGUGGUGCAUGGUUGUCGUCAGCUCGUGUCGUGAGAUGUUGGGUUAAGUCCCGCAACGAGCGCAACCCUCGACCUUAGUUGCCAGCAUUCAGUUGGGCACUCUAAGGUGACUGCCGGCUAAAAGUCGGAGGAAAGUGGGGAUGACGUCAAAUCAUCAUGCCCCUUAUGACCUGGGCUACACACGUGCUACAAUGGGCGGUACAAAGGGUCGCGAACCCGCGAGGGGGAGCCAAUCCCAAAAAGCCGCUCUCAGUUCGGAUUGCAGGCUGCAACUCGCCUGCAUGAAGCCGGAAUCGCUAGUAAUCGCGGAUCAGCAUGCCGCGGUGAAUACGUUCCCGGGCCUU
rnacentral:rRNA from 1 species